AUUCGGGUUCGGGUAUUAUCCGUUCGGGUUCGGAUAUCCAAUCUCUUCUUAUUCAAUACCCAUUCGGGUAUUUUGCUACUUCGGUUCGGAUUUCGGUUCGGGUUUUUCGGAUCGGGUUCGGGUGCCACUUCGGAUAUCGGAUAAAGUGCCCACCCCUAAUUCAUACCCUCGUAAGGCGAGUGUAAUCAAGCGCAUUAAAUCCCAUAUAUUAUGGUUGUAUUGUAUUCCUAUGACUAGUGGGCUCUUCUAACAUGUGACCCAAUUUAAUUAUGUCAUAGGUGUAUAUUUAGCUGAAUUAAUUAGUUUUUUUUUAGAAUGUAAAAUUUAUUCAAAUAAAAAAAAUUACAUCAUGUGUGGUAUGGUUGUCAUUGUUCUAGUAUGAAUAGAAAUGAAAAAAAAAGUUGAGCCUAAAGUAGUUUGCUAGGACUGUCGGGAAGCAAACCAAGCUAUCAUAGCCUUAUCAAAGCGGGUUCGUCUUCCUCGGAUGAGUGACAGAUCCUUUUCGAACCAGUUUGUGGAUGAAACCAAAGAUUAUAGUCGCAGUCUGAUGAUGUUUGCCAUGCUGCGUCCAAUUCUCUCCCUCCAUAUCAAAUGUACAGCUGCUUGAAACACAUAUCGUAACAGAAACAUAUGUGUCUUAUCUCUUACUCCAUUAACCAGAGCUUUCAUAAUUAUGUCCCAAAAAAAAAAAAAAAAUAGCUUGUUCGAAGAAUACUCCUGGAGAGAUUACUCCAUUUUUCUUCCGAGAAAGGGCAGCAGAAAAACAAAUUGUAACGACCCGGAUUCCUGGAGCCGUUGUGAUUUUCUCUUUCUAUUAAUUAUUUUUCACUAAACCAAUCUGGUUUCUUUUUGGUUUAAUUAAUUAUCUCCACCACUCGUUUUCUUGAACCAAACCGUGUAUGCAUGUACUUAAAGCGUAUGCAUCUUCCUCUUAUUUCUAACCUAGCCGUCAAAGUCAUUGUUCCUCCACUCAGAACCUAGCCUCAAACCAUGAUCGAUCUCUCAUGCUUCACCUCGUCCCCAUCUCUCUUGCUCAUCACUUGUGCCAUUAUAUAUCUUCUUCUCCCCCAUGUUAUUCAUGUGUUCGUGUGUUUGAUGACCGAGAAGACGUGACGUAUCCACCAUCGUCACCACCGGAGCCAUGUCCUUCACCGUCAACCACCGUGAGCCAUGCCACUGGAGCCAGCGCCUUCACCCGAGGAGUGGCUCGUGUUACUAGAGAUCCGUUGUCACCGUGGAGAAGAGAUGUACGAGCUGGAGCUAUCGCAUCUUGACGCCACCGGCACGCAUCAACACCACCAAGCACCACGACCGGAGCCGUUUCAGUCUGACCAGCCGUGAUCCUCAACCGUGAGUCACCGGAGAGGGCCAUUCACUUUUGGGGCCGAGAUCCGCCACUACGAUUCCAAGCCGUGAAGGUUAAAACUUAAAAGAGAUUAUAUUAAUUUCUUGUGCUGCAAGUUUCAUAAUUAAACCCUAGAUCUAUUAUAUGAUAUUUAUGUCUCCUAUUUCGCGUCUGUUAUUUUCCGAUCUGGUGUGCCAUUAUCGAGAGUUCGAGAUCCAUGGCGAAACCCUAGCUUUCUUUCUGAUCAAGUCAUUUCGUUUAUAGUCGGACUCGCUUCUGGUUCUUCCUUAUUGGCUAAGGUGAGACUGACGAGCUUAGUGAUUGUUAUCGGAUUGGUGCUUUGGGAGUUCUAUUUCUUUUAUUUUCAGACUUUCGAUUUUAUGAUUUUAUCGAUAUUUCGGGAUUUAUCUUUUUAUUGCAUUUAUGGUUAUUUAUUGGAUUUAUGACUUUGGAGUUGACUUUUGAAAAGUAAUAAAUGGAGAUUUCAGACUUUUUA